rnacentral:rRNA from 1 species
AGUUCGGAUUGUAGUCUGCAACUCGACUACAUGAAGCUGGAAUCGCUAGUAAUCGCGGAUCAGAAUGCCGCGGUGAAUACGUUCCCGGGUCUUGUACACACCGCCCGUCACACCAUGGGAGUCGGAAAUGCCCAAAGUCAGUGACCUAACCGAAAGGGAGGAGCUGCCGAAGGUGGAGCCGGUAACUGGGGUGAAGUCGUAACAAGGUAGC